GGGAUGACGUCAAGUCAGCAUGGCCUUUAUAUCCUGGGCUACACACACGCUACAAUGGUCUGUACAAUAGGUUGACCAAGCCGCGAGGCGGAGCCAAUCCAUAAAGCAAGGCUUCAGUUCAGAUUGCAGUCUGCAACCCGACUGCAUGAAGAUGGAGUUGCUAGUAACCGCAGGUCAGCUAUACUGCGGUGAAUACGUUCCCGGGUCUU
rnacentral:rRNA from 1 species